rnacentral:rRNA from 1 species
GGGUACGUAGCUUUCACUCCCAACCCCUGUGACAUACCUUACUGUUGCCUCGGCGGAUCAGCCCGCUCCCGGUAAAACGGGACGGCCCGCCAGAGGACCCCUAAACUCUGUUUCUAUAUGUAACUUCUGAGUAAAACCAUAAAUAAAUCAAAACUUUCAACAACGGAUCUCUUGGUUCUGGCAUCGAUGAAGAACGCAGCAAAAUGCGAUAAGUAAUGUGAAUUGCAGAAUUCAGUGAAUCAUCGAAUCUUUGAACGCACAUUGCGCCCGCCAGUAUUCUGGCGGGCAUGCCUGUUCGAGCGUCAUUUCAACCCUCAAGCCCUCGGGUUUGGUGUUGGGGAUCGGCGAGCCUUUCUGGCAAGCCGGCCCCGAAAUCUAGUGGCGGUCUCGCUGCAGCCUCCAUUGCGUAGUAGUAAAACCCUCGCAACUGGAACGCGGCGCGGCCAAGCCGUUAAACCCCCAACUUCUGAAUGUUGACCUCGGAUCAGGUAGGAAUACCCGCUGAACUUAAGCAUAUCAUAGUGGGGAGGAAUU